GAAUAAGCUAUGAUGUAGUUUGAUAAUCUAGAAGCAAAUUUAGCGGUUGCUUUAGAUUGUUAAAUCGGUGCUUAUAGCCUAAGAGGGGGAGGGGGUGAAUUAGGCAACUUAAAAUCCUUAGCCAAUGGCUUGUACUAUUUGGUUUAAAAUAUAAACUAGAUCAUACUAUCUAAAUGUGCAUCUAUGGUUGAUCUCGUGAAAACUUCCCACCCACAAAGAGUUUUGCAACCUAUGGACAAUCCUAUCAAGAUACUACUCUAGAAAGUAAAGGCAUACAAGUUGCAAGAAUAAAAUGCAGAAACGUAAAUGAGUGAGUUAGGAAGGAUGCAAACUCAAUACGACGAUUUAUCCUGUGGUAUCGGUAGGAAAAUACCACCCCUCUAGUCCACAUUUGAGCUCCACCAAGGAUAUGCUCUCGGUCUCACCAAGUCUCUCCC
rnacentral:lncRNA from 1 species